rnacentral:rRNA from 1 species
AACAAACGCUGGCGGCGUGCCUAAUACAUGCAAGUCGAACGAGGUAGCAAUACCUAGUGGCGCACGGGUGAGUAACACGUGGAUAAUCUGCCUUAGAGUGGGGGAUAACUCUCCGAAAGGAGAGCUAAUACCGCAUAAGACCACAGUGACUUCGGUCACAGGGGUUAAAGGAGCAAUUCGCUCUAAGAUGAGUCUGCGUCAGAUUAGCUAGUUGGUGGGGUAAUGGCCUACCAAGGCGACGAUCUGUAGCUGGUCUGAGAGGAUGAUCAGCCACACUGGAACUGAGACACGGUCCAGACUCCUACGGGAGGCAGCAGUAGGAAUAUUGCACAAUGGGGAAACCCUGAUGCAGCAACGCCGCGUGAGCGACGAAGGCCU